AACGCACAUUGCGCCCUUUGGUAUUCCAGAGGGCAUGCCUGUUUGAGCGUCAUUUCUCUCUCAAACCUUAGGGUUUGGUAUUGAGUGAUACUCUUAGUCAAACUAAGCGUUUGCUUGAAAAGUAUUGGCAAGAGUGGUACUAAAUUAGUGCUUCAGAUUUUUCAAUGUAUUAGGUUUAUCCAACUCGUUGAAUAGUCUGAUGGCAAAUGUUUAGUAGCAUUGGCUCGGCCUUACAACCAACAAACAAGUUUGACCUCAAAUCAGGUAGGAAUACCCGCUGAACUUAA
rnacentral:misc_RNA from 1 species